CCUUACCCUGCUCCCGAAUGUGCCGCGUGUGCAUAAUGGGAAUGUGUUUCUUGUGUAAGAUAUGCUCCUGGGCUCCACGGAAGAGUCAGACACCCGGUUUAUGUCAGCUUCUGCCGAGAGAUUCGGAUCGAUGUUGGCCAGUGGCUUAAAUGAGUUCAUCCAUGCGCAAAAUGCGCAAACGGGACCGGGCCGUUGAGAAAGCAGCAGUGAAAUGAAAGGAAAUAUAAUCACUGUGGCAUGGAAAACCCUGUGUCCAAAGUAAAUAAAUACAAAUCGGACUAUAACAGAACCAGAGACUAAAAUAAACAUGGCUAUUUCCACAUCUGUACACGAAGCUAUUUGCAGAGUUCACAGUGAGGCAAAAAAAUGCGUGGUGCUGGUUCAAGGGUAUGGCAGCAGGUUAGGGAGAAAUGUGAUGACUGAGCCGCUGUAAGAUGUGAACAUGUUUCCGGCUUUGAGCAGAAACACACAACGGUGUCUCCUUAGGGUUCCCAUUCAUAUUCAAAGGAUUUAAAAAAUAGUUAGCGCCUACGCCCUCGCUCCCCAUGUAAACAUAAGCGAAGGCAAAAAAAAAAAAAAGGAAGUUGCAGAAUCGGUCUGCCGGCUUGCUCCUUCACCAUCCAUCCGUGAACCCCAACAAAAGUUCUCGCCUGCCCAAACACUGCUGCAAACACCGGUCAGUCACACAGGGAGAAGGCUCAGGCUCGUCUUGCUCGAGAGGCCCCCGCCUCGGCCUCGGCUUCCCAUCACAGUCAACCCCCAAGCAACGCUGGAGCCAAGCUGUCAGUCAAUAACACGGCGAUAACAGGGCUGCUCUCUUCACACAUGACUCCGAGGUGACAUGCGCAUGCUCCUAUAUGCACUGUACACACCCAUCAAAAUGCUGUGGGCUCGCCGUUAGAGUUGUGCGCACAAAUGCACACUCGUGCACACGCGCACACACACACGCACGCACGCAAGAAGGCUGCCAAUUGCCCACGCCUAAGAGCGAGGGACUCUGUUCUCAGUAAACAGCAACAAUAGCAGAAGCCAAGUAUCAAGUAUGCAAAAGUCCGCAUUUUUCACUCCGCUGACAUGCAGCGCUGUUGUCGUGGAUUCCUCUUUUUCAUGUUGUGGCUCUGAUUUUUCUGAUGAAUGGGAUUGUCCCAAUUUAUUUGGUUGUAGGCAAGUGCUCGGUGUGAAAUAUUGCAAAGAGAUUUUAAUAAGAUGGACCGGAAGGUACUGAGACAUAUUCAGUCUCUGCGUGGUGGAGGAGUUUUAUUUACAGCCGUGUAAGUGUCGCUGCUGAGGAGGGCUAUAAACUGCCAUUAGCGGCCCCGCCAGAUUCCAACACGGAGUUGUGGAAUCCAGCCUGGCGCAUGGACUCUCUCUGGAUUGGACGCAGCAGUUUGGGUAGCCAAACAGGCACGUAAGCACUGCAGUCAUUGACAUACAGGAGUUCGCAUAUAGAUUCCACACACGCAAGCACGGCAUCUCGCCGCCUGUCAUUUGUCUAGAAACAGAAUGGCACAUGAGAGAGGCCUUGUGGAGAAAGCAACGAGCAAUCGGAGAGACGGUAUCUGUUUAUUUAUAGGCAGUGCUGUUUAUUUGUCUGGAAUACAGCAACACGAGUGGAUGUUCAACUGACAACAGAUUGGAAGAUUGCCAUUUUCCACCGCUGCAAACGCCAAUACCAAUUGCACUUUCACAGGCUGGUAAAGGCAGAACCACGGACAGGGCGUCUACUUUGUUCCUUCAGGAAACGUCAUGAAAAGGUUGGCGAGUGCGUCAACAGUAGACCUUGGUUUCUAUUUUGAUGUAACAUGGCAGACGUGCUACAGGAAUGGUGGGGAUAAAAUCUCUAUGCUCGGGGCUGUUUGAUCAGAAACACCUAUUUAUGUACUGUACAAAGUCAAAACAGCAGCAUGCAAAAUAAGAUCUGCGCUGGCGCCAAGCCUGUGGGGUGUCAAAUUACAGAAUAAUGAGGGAUCGGGCCUUGGAACAUGUCACUCUGAAUGACACUGAAGUUGUGCGAAUGCUCUGGUUGACAUAGCGCGCGGGCUUUGUUGGAGCAUAAUAGUUUGCUGAAACAAGUGAGGGUCCGCUUCUCUCUCAUAUCCAUUGCCACCACAUACCAGUGACCUUGGAGCAGCUGACCACUUAACCCUUUUAACUUUAGCACAUUCAUUUGACAUUACCUUGAAGGGAUCAACAGUGUUUUUGUAUAUAGCAGCACGGACAAGUAGUCAUUAGAAGCGCGAGCUUUGUAGCGCAAGUCUCCUGCACGCUCUCCCCCUUAAAUACACCCCCAGCCAGCGACACCGCCACAGAAAAGAUAGCACUAUCUUUCCUGCGUCCGGGGCCCCCCAGGCAUUCUAAUCUUUUAAUUGAAUCUUUUGUCAUUAGAAUAAAAUAACUGUGAACUUCCAUCGGGGGGUGGGGCGGGGGGGGGAGAUCAGGCCAGAAUGCAGCGGUGGUCAGAAGUACAGUAAUUCCUGCCGAUUCUGUUGAAACUUACGGGCAUUUCAAUCACCUUGGGUCUGAGUGGCACAAUCAGGGAAAAUAAUGAAGUGUGUGUGUGUGUGUACCACGGCACAUACAGUACGUUGACGGACAUGUUACCGUCCCAUCAGUUUCUUGAGUGCGUCGCUAGCAAGUGUCAAGCUUGAGAACCAAAUAAAUGUUGUGGAAAAGUGGGAUCGAGGAAUUUGUUUUGGUGGGAGAGAAACACUUCCCCUUCUGGUGACCCUGCAGAAGCGCUCGGCGUAAUUGCCUCAUUCUUCUAAGCAAAUGAACAUUGACGGAGAGACGAUUGCUGGUUGAAAGGGUCCCCCUUUUCAUACAGCUGACAAGGCCGCCACACAUGGAGCAGAACUGACAUUGGCCAGGCCGCAGCCCCUGACUAACCUCUGACAUUGAGGUAUCCCUCUGCUGAACAAAAAAACAGGAAAACUGACCACACACUUUUAAAUCCUCCGAUUGUUCCUGGGCUGACAGCCAACAGUAGUGACACUUAUCACCGCCACAGAUUUAACACCAACACAAUAGUGUGCGCUCGUGCUGCUGCGAGAUCUAGCCAGCAUAAAUGUUUUCAUGGCACUUUGCACACUGUGU